rnacentral:tRNA from 1 species
GGCUCAAUGGUAGAGCGUUCGACUGAAAUUCCAAAGGUCGUGUGUUCAAAUCCCAGC